UAAUAAGAAGCAAUUAUUGCGUUUAGUUUCGACCUAAAAAUUUGAUAAAUUUUAUCCUUAUUAA
rnacentral:tRNA from 1 species